CCUCAUCUCUAUAUGAUGUACACUCUUAUAUUCUAUAAAAGACAUUCUUCCUCACAUUCUCACACAAGUGAAUACAUCCUAAUCCUUGCACUCUUUUUUCAAGAAAAAUCCACUAAUUCCUGGAUUCUUAGAAGGAAAAACACACCCAGAAUUUCUGCAAUUUUAGAUAUACAUAGAUCGAAGAAGUUUUUAUCUUCUCAAGUUAAUUUUGAGCUAAAAGUUGAAGUUCAUUCUGGGACUUACUGCUGAUUUCUGUCUACUCAUUGCUGAUUCUUAAGUCUCGUUGAACUUCUCUCUUUCAUUUUAGCCUUUAUUUGGCCAUUCUAAGUUCCCUAACUGCAUUUCAAGGUACAUGUUCUAACUUCAAACCAUGUAAUUGAUAUUAGGAUGUUUUAUUGUUAUACAAUCUAUGUUGUUUGUUAGUUGAUGUGUACGGUGGAUGUUCCUCUAUGUUUGACUGCAAAUUUGAGCUUAGAUUGAAGAAAAAUGGUUUGAUAAAUCUUCAUACAUGCUGGUAACCUAAGUAAUAAAAUAAUUAUCAGUUCUAUAUUUUGAUUUAUGACUGCUGAGAUUUGGUUUGUUGUUGGUGAAUUUCAUACAUGUGAUGUUCUGAAGGUUUCCUAUUAGAUUUGUGGCCUAAGAAGUAAGAUGUCGGAAGUGUUGGAGAUGAGCUUGGAAAUAUGACCAGUGCUUGGCUUGAUUUUAAAGUUUUGUCAAUUAAAAGUGGUCAUCUAUUGUAAUUAUUGAAUUUUAGUUUAGUAUGGUUCUUGAUAUAGAGUUGUAAUAAUUCAGUUCAUUAUCAUUGAAUGUUGUUAUACAGAUUUAGUAGACUGAUAGUUAACGUUAAAAAAAUAUAGAUUAUGGAAUGUUGUUAUAUAGCAGUUUAUCAUGAGUUUAGCAUGUUAAAGUCCCUCUUGCACGAAGUAGCUUCAUUAUUAGUAGUUUAUUAACAGUAGAGAUGUAAAUGUUAAUUUAGGGAUGAUAUUGUAUAAGUAAUUCAAUUGGAGCUGGUGUUUAAACUCGUUUGAAGUACUUUAGUCUGUUGUGAUUUGUUACGGGCAUAGCUGAUCUUUCUUUAAAGUAAUUUGUUGUAUUUCAUUCAAAGUAAAAUUCCUAUUUAUGUUUUAAGAUUUGUAGUAGUAAAUGUUUUCAGUUGGGACGCCCAAUUCCAAUCGUGUCAGGCUCAACUUUCUUGAGCAUGGCAGCCUUUCCUUUGUUAGGCAACCUUUCUUUUGUUUGACUAAGGCUCAAAUUUGGGUUCAAUCCCAGCAACCUGUAACGUUGGCCUCUUUCAAAGAGUUGGGACAUUUGGUCUUUUCUCAUCCAAGAGCCCGCUUGUACCCCCCUUAUAUGUGAAUUAACUCAUCAAAGUCAUAGUGUAUAGCUUCUGUCAUUUUCAUCUAUAGAUUAAUAUAAAUACCAAUCAACAAAAAGAGUAGAUUCAUUUGAAUUAUUUAAAAUGAAGCUGAUGCGACCUUAAGCUACAAUCCAACACUGAAUUAUGAUGGUCAAUUCAUGGACACUCAAUCUCGCACUGCCUAGGAAGCUGAACAAAUUAAUUUUUGAAUAUUUGUAGAAAUGCUUUUAGGUGCGCAUCUAAUAUAUCAUCGUGACUAUAUAUACGUUUGCGUGACAUAAUUAAGAUCUCCACAAAUAAAUCAAAGUAAGCGUUCACGCGACUUUGGCCAAACAAUCUUAAUAAUUAAUAAAGUAUGAUUAACUGUGUAUACGUACAACAACAACAACCACCCAGUAGAAUCCCACUAUUGGGGUCUUGGGGAGGGUAGAAUGUACGUAGACCUUACCCCUACUUCGAAGGGAUAGAUAGGCUAUUUUCGGGAGACCCUCGGCUCAGAGACAAUAGAUCCAUAACCAUAACAGAAACCAGAAAAAUAGUAUCAACAUCGUAAAUACAAAAAUAAAUGGAAAGGUUAAAAUGUGAAAGACAACAACAAUAACAACAAAUCAAAAAAAUAAAAAAUAAAAAAAUUACGAAACAUAACAAAAAUUUUGUGUACACGUACGCGUAAUAUAAUUUUAGCGCUCCAAAUAAAAUGGAUUUACACACAUGUGAUCCAUUUUUCAAGAUAAAUCCAUAAACGCCAUAUUUAAAAGCAGUAAAAGGUUAAAUACACAUAGGUUCUAAAAUACGUAAUUAAAUAAUUUAGGCGUAAUGGCUUCCAGACCACUUAAACUUAUAGGGCUUUUGAAAGUCGAUACGCAAAUUUUGGACUUUCCCAUUAAACACUCAAACUCGUGAAACCCAUAACUAAUAAACAUAUUUGACCGUUGACCCAUCCCAUGUGGUUUCAGUUGGUCCUUGUCAGCCGGUUACGUGAGUCUCACAGCGUUUAGGAGCGUGAGAGCCCCCUUCCUAAUGCCCAACGGUAAAAAAUGGGGCCUAUUUAAGUGAGUUCUUAUUCCUUCAAUGUAAAACACAUUAUCCCUCUAUUGUAUAACAUUUGAAGCUUCAUUCCUUCAUAUUUCUUAAAAUCUGAAGCUUUAUUUAUUUUUUUUCUUUUUCCUGACUGUGAAAAAGAAUCAAAGUCCUGUAUUUUGUCAUUGUGGAGUUGAAGCUCAUAUUUGUAUCAUUUGGAAGCCAACAAAUCCAGGAAGAAGGUUUUAUGGGUGCUCAAACUAUGGUCG
rnacentral:lncRNA from 1 species